rnacentral:rRNA from 1 species
AAGUCGAGCGGCAGCACAGAGAAACUUGUUUCUCGGGUGGCGAGCGGCGGACGGGUGAGUAAUGCCUGGGAAAUUGCCCUGAUGUGGGGGAUAACCAUUGGAAACGAUGGCUAAUACCGCAUGAUGCCUACGGGCCAAAGAGGGGGACCUUCGGGCCUCUCGCGUCAGGAUAUGCCCAGGUGGGAUUAGCUAGUUGGUGAGGUAAGGGCUCACCAAGGCGACGAUCCCUAGCUGGUCUGAGAGGAUGAUCAGCCACACUGGAACUGAGACACGGUCCAGACUCCUACGGGAGGCAGCAGUGGGGAAUAUUGCACAAUGGGCGCAAGCCUGAUGCAGCCAUGCCGCGUGUGUGAAGAAGGCCUUCGGGUUGUAAAGCACUUUCAGUAGGGAGGAAGGUGGUAUUGUGAAUAGCGCUAUCAUUUGACGUUACCUACAGAAGAAGCACCGGCUAACUCCGUGCCAGCAGCCGCGGUAAUACGGAGGGUGCGAGCGUUAAUCGGAAUUACUGGGCGUAAAGCGCAUGCAGGUGGUUUGUUAAGUCAGAUGUGAA